CUCUCCUUAGCUCAGUUGGAUAGAGCACCUGCCUUCUAAGCAGGUGGUCACAGGUUCGAAUCCUGUAGGAGAGGCCA
rnacentral:tRNA from 1 species